UGAUUUCUUCGGAAUGAAAUCUGAUAUGACUGAGUGGCGGACGGGUGAGUAACGCGUGAGCAACCUGCCCUUCGGAACGGGAUAGUGUCUGGAAACGGACAGUAAUACCGUAUAACGUAUUUUUACCGCAUGAUAGAAAUACCAAAACUGAGGUGCCGAAGGAUGGGCUCGCGUCUGAUUAGAUAGUUGGUGGGGUAACGGCCUACCAAGUCGACGAUCAGUAGCCGGACUGAGAGGUUGAACGGCCACAUUGGGACUGAGACACGGCCCAGACUCCUACGGGAGGCAGCAGUGGGGAAUAUUGCACAAUGGGGGAAACCCUGAUGCAGCAACGCCGCGUGAAGGAAGACGGUUUUCGGAUUGUAAACUUCUGUUCUUAGUGAAGAAUAAUGACGGUAGCUAAGGAGCAAGCCACGGCUAACUACGUGCCAGCAGCCGCGGUAAUACGUAGGUGGCAAGCGUUGUCCGGAAUUACUGGGUGUAAAGGGAGCGUAGGCGGGAUGCCAAGUCAGCUGUGAAAACUAUGGGCUUAACCUGUAGACUGCAGUUGAAACUGGUAUUCUUGAGUGAAGUAGAGGUUGACGGAAUUCCGAGUGUAGCGGUGAAAUGCGUAGAUAUUCGGAGGAACACCGGUGGCGAAGGCGGCCAACUGGGCUUUAACUGACGCUGAGGCUCGAAAGUGUGGGGAGCAAACAGGAUUAGAUACCCUGGUAGUCCACACUGUAAACGAUGAUUACUAGGUGUU
rnacentral:rRNA from 1 species